UCAGUUGUGAAAGUUUGCGGCUCAACCGUAAAAUUGCAGUUGAUACUGGCAGUCUUGAGUGCAGUAGAGGUGGGCGGAAUUCGUGGUGUAGCGGUGAAAUGCUUAGAUAUCACGAAGAACUCCGAUUGCGAAGGCAGCUCACUGGAGUGUAACUGACGCUGAUGCUCGAAAGUGUGGGUAUCAAACAGGAUUAGAUACCCUGGUAGUCCACACAGUAAACGAUGAAUACUCGCUGUUUGCGAUAUACAGUAAGCGGCCAAGCGAAAGCGUUAAGUAUUCCACCUGGGGAGUACGCCGGCAACGGUGAAACUCAAAGGAAUUGACGGGGGCCCGCACAAGCGGAGGAACAUGUGGUUUAAUUCGAUGAUACGCGAGGAACCUUACCCGGGCUUGAAUUGCAACUGAAUGAUGUGGAGACAUGUCAGCCGCAAGGCAGUUGUGAAGGUGCUGCAUGGUUGUCGUCAGCUCGUGCCGUGAGGUGUCGGCUUAAG
rnacentral:rRNA from 1 species